NNNNNNNNNGCCGCCGAGCACAUGGACCCGCUGGCCGAGCGGGCUCCGCAAGGCCGGGCAUGAAGAGGAGCUGCGGACCAGGAUGCCACCCGGCGCCCCCAAAGCCCCCCGAGUGGACAUCCACGCGGAAAGGAUGUUGGCAGCCCGGGUGACCUGGGAGUCAUGGCUGAAUCCACCCUCCC
ensembl:misc_RNA